rnacentral:rRNA from 1 species
UUAAACUGAAGAGUUUGAUCAUGGCUCAGAUUGAACGCUGGCGGCAGGCCUAACACAUGCAAGUCGAGCGCGAAAGUUCCUUCGGGAAUGAGUAGAGCGGCGGACGGGUGA